rnacentral:rRNA from 1 species
AUGCAUGCAUGCAGAGAUGGGCAUGAGUUUGCUUCCAUGAUGGCUGGCAAGCUAUAUGGUGCAAUGAUGGUGAUGUACAAUGAUAUGCAACACCCAAUAAUACGCUCUCUUUUCCUUCCGAAAGCCCGCUUGCUGCACUGUUGCCUACUUAUGGCGCGCGCAGGCCGCCUUUUGUUGAAAUUAGACUGUUUUCUGGUCGUGCCUGCUAGUGUACAUAUUGCAUGCACAGUAGGAGUACAACAAUCUCAUUCACCAGGUAGUCCUCUGAAACUCAACCGUGCUGGAUUAUUUCAGUUCUUUUGCGUGAUGCAUGGCAUUCCAUCCUUGCUUUGCUUGCUUGCUGAAAUGUCGUUCCUGCAUUUGUGCUGCACGUCGUGA